UACGUAGGUGGCAAGCGUUGUCCGGAUUUACUGGGCGUAAAGAGCGCGCAGGCGGUCGUUUAAGUCGAAUGUGAAAGCCCCCGGCUCAACUGGGGAGGGUCAUUCGAUACUGAUCGACUUGAAGGCAGGAGAGGGAAGUGGAAUUCCGGGUGUAGUGGUGAAAUGCGUAGAUAUCCGGAGGAACACCAGUGGCGAAGGCGACUUCCUGGCCUGUUCUUGACGCUGAGGCGCGAAAGCUGGGGGAGCAAACGGGG
rnacentral:rRNA from 1 species